rnacentral:rRNA from 1 species
UACGAAGGGGGCGAGCGUUGUUCGGAAUUACUGGGCGUAAAGGGCGCGUAGGCGGCGACCCAAGUCAGAUGUGAAAGUCCUGGGCUUAACCUGGGGACUGCAUUUGAUACUGGGUUGCUUGAAUCCGGGAGAGGAUAGCGGAAUUCCCAGUGUAGAGGUGAAAUUCGUAGAUAUUGGGAAGAACACCGGUGGCGAAGGCGGCUAUCUGGACCGACAUUGACGCUGAGGCGCGAAAGCGUGGGGAGCAAACAGG